rnacentral:rRNA from 1 species
GGGGGAUAUUGCACAAUGGGGGAAACCCUGAUGCAGCGACGCCGCGUGAGUGAAGAAGUAUUUCGGUAUGUAAAGCUCUAUCAGCAGGAAAGAUAAUGACGGUACCUGACUAAGAAGCACCGGCUAAAUACGUGCCAGCAGCCGCGGUAAUACGUAUGGUGCAAGCGUUAUCCGGAUUUACUGGGUGUAAAGGGAGCGCAGACGGCAUGGCAAGCCAGAUGUGAAAGGUGGGGGCUCAACCCCCAAGCUGCAUUUGGAACUGUCAAGCUAGAGUAUCGGAGAGGUAAGUGGAAUUCCUAGUGUAGCGGUGAAAUGCGUAGAUAUUAGGAGGAACACCAGUGGCGAAGGCGGCUUACUGGACGAUAACUGACGUUGAGGCUCGAAAGCGUGGGGAGCAAAC